rnacentral:rRNA from 1 species
CCUACGGGAGGCAGCAGUGGGGAAUUUUGGACAAUGGGCGAAAGCCUGAUCCAGCAAUGCCGCGUGAGUGAAGAAGGCCUUCGGGUUGUAAAGCUCUUUUGUCAGGGAAGAAACGGUGGGAGCUAAUAUCUCUUGCUAAUGACGGUACCUGAAGAAUAAGCACCGGCUAACUACGUGCCAGCAGCCGCGGUAAUACGUAGGGUGCAAGCGUUAAUCGGAAUUACUGGGCGUAAAGCGUGCGCAGGCGGUUUUGUAAGUCUGAUGUGAAAUCCCCGGGCUCAACCUGGGAAUUGCAUUGGAGACUGCAAGGCUAGAAUCUGGCAGAGGGGGGUAGAAUUCCACGUGUAGCAGUGAAAUGCGUAGAUAUGUGGAGGAACACCGAUGGCGAAGGCAGCCCCCUGGGUCAAGAUUGACGCUCAUGCACGAAAGCGUGGGGAGCAAACAGGAUUAGAUACCCUGGUAGUCCACGCCCUAAACGAUGUCUACUAGUUGUCGGGUCUUAAUUGACUUGGUAACGCAGCUAACGCGUGAAGUAGACCGCCUGGGGAGACGGUCGCAAGAUUAAAACUUAAAGGAAUUGACGG